rnacentral:rRNA from 1 species
GAUGAACGCUGGCGGCGUGCCUAAUACAUGCAAGUCGAACGAAACUUCUUUAUCACCGAGUGCUUGCACUCACCGAUACAGAGUUGAGUGGCGAACGGGUGAGUAACACGUGGGCAACCUGCCCAAAAGAGGGGGAUAACACUUGGAAACAGGUGCUAAUACCGCAUAACCAUAGUUACCGCAUGGUAACUGUGUAAAAGGUGGCUAUACUACCGCUUUUGGAUGGGCCCGCGGCGCAUUAGCUAGUUGGUAGGGUAAAGGCUUACCAAGGCAAUGAUGCGUAGCCGAAUUGAGAGGUUGAUCGGCCACAUUGGGACUGAGACACGGCCCAAACUCCUACGGGAGGCAGCAGUAGGGAAUCUUCCACAAUGGGCGAAAGCCUGAUGGAGCAACGCCGCGUGGGUGAAGAAGGUCUUCGGAUCGUAAAACCCUGUUGUUAGAGAAGAAAGUGCGUGAGAGUAACUGUUCACGUUUCGACGGUAUCUAACCAGAAAGCCACGGCUAACUACGUG